GAGCAGUGCGGCGUGCUAUACAUGCAGUCGAGCGGACCGACGGGAGCUUGCUCCCUUAGGUCAGCGGCGGACGGGUGAGUAACACGUGGGUAACCUGCCUGUAAGACUGGGAUAACUCCGGGAAACCGGGGCUAAUACCGGAUGCUUGAUUGAACCGCAUGGUUCAAUCAUAAAAGGUGGCUUUUAGCUACCACUUGCAGAUGGACCCGCGGCGCAUUAACUAGUUGGUGAGGUAACGGCUCACCAAGGCGACGAUGCGUAGCCGACCUGAGAGGGUGAUCGGCCACACUGGGACUGAAACACGGCCCAGACUCCUACGGGAGGCAGCAGUAGGGAAUCUUCCGCAAUGGACGAAAGUCUGACGGAGCAACGCCGCGUGAGUGAUGAAAGGUUUUCGGAUCGUAAAACUCUGUUGUUAGGGAAGAACAAGUACCGUUCGAAUAGGGCGGUACCUUGACGGUACCUAACCAGAAAGCCACGGCUAACUACGUGCCAGCAGCCGCGGUAAUACGUAAGUGGCAAGCGUUGUCCGGAAUUAUUGGGCGUAAAGCGCGCGCAGGCGGUUUCUUAAGUCUGAUGUGAAAGCCCCCGGCUCAACCGGGGAGGGUCAUUGGAAACUGGGGAACUUGAGUGCAGAAGAGGAGAGUGGAAUUCCACGUGUAGCGGUGAAAUGCGUAGAGAUGUGGAGGAACACCAGUGGCGAAGGCGACUCUCUGGUCUGUAACUGACGCUGAGGCGCGAAAGCGUGGGGAGCGAACAGGAUUAGAUACCCUGGUAGUCCACGCCGUAAACGAUGAGUGCUAAGUGUUAGAGGGUUUCCGCCCUUUAGUGCUGCAGCAAACGCAUUAAGCACUCCGCCUGGGGAGUACGGUCGCAAGACUGAAACUCAAAGGAAUUGACGGGGGCCCGCACAAGCGGUGGAGCAUGUGGUUUAAUUCGAAGCAACGCGAAGAACCUUACCAGGUCUUGACAUCCUCUGACAACCCUAGAGAUAGGGCUUCCCCUUCGGGGGCAGAGUGACAGGUGGUGCAUGGUUGUCGUCAGCUCGUGUCGUGAGAUGUUGGGUUAAGUCCCGCAACGAGCGCAACCCUUGAUCUUAGUUGCCAGCAUUCAGUUGGGCACUCUAAGGUGACUGCCGGUGACAAACCGGAGGAAGGUGGGGAUGACGUCAAAUCAUCAUGCCCCUUAUGACCUGGGCUACACACGUGCUACAAUGGGCAGAACAAAGGGCAGCGAAGCCGCGAGGCUAAGCCAAUCCCACAAAUCUGUUCUCAGUUCGGAUCGCAGUCUGCAACUCGACUGCGUGAAGCUGGAAUCGCUAGUAAUCGCGGAUCAGCAUGCCGCGGUGAAUACGUUCCCGGGCCUUGUACACACCGCCCGUCACACCACGAGAGUUUGUAACACCCGAAGUCGGUGAGGUAACCUUUGGAGCCAGCCGCCGAAGGUGACAAAAAGG
rnacentral:rRNA from 1 species